UGUAUUUUGGAAUAGUUUCAGAUUUAUGUAAAAGUUGCAAAGAAACUGAGAAUUCCUCACAAAAAUCAUUUUUGGAAUGUAUACCCAGUACUAACCAUGUGUAAAAUAGUAAACUAAGCUGAGUGUAAGGGUCCGGGAAAAUAAGGAGAACCAUAGAGUAAUGACUCAUCUAAUCCUUCCUACCUGCUGAUCGUGGGGGAAAAGACGAGUUUAUGUUCAUGUAUUUGUUUGCUAAUAAGAGCCUGCUAGUUACUCAGCACUGUGAUAGGAACUGAGGAUAUAGUGGACAAAUUCCUACAUCUGCCGAAGAAUGUUCCUGUAACUAUGCCAGGCACUAGGAAUGCAACAGUGAAGGUUACUGUCCAUGUAGGUCAUCGUUAUAAAAGCAGAAGGAGAGAAAGAUGCAUGUCAAGCACUAUGUGAGCUUCAAGAAAGAGGGAUCAGGUUCACUUGGGAAGAGGCUUCAUGGAUAAGACAACUUUUGAAAGACUGAAAGAGAUUGAGGAGGAGAGCAUAUCAACAGCAGAACUGAAAGCCAUUCUCAGGAAAACUCCUCACCAGCAAUCAACCAGAAUCCCCAUGUAAGGCCAAUUACUUUUGGGUCGUAGAGCCCAAGAUGGGUUCCAGGCUUACUUGAGGAAGCAUCAGAAAGCCUGGGGAAACUUCAUAAUCUCCACAAACCAGCAUUUUAAUUCUAAUAGUCCUGGAAUCCUGAGUCACUCUGAAGGGUUGGGGGUUGGCUUCAACAUUUCUCCCAAGAGGCCAUAGCAUGUUUUUGCAGAUAGACUCUAGAAGAGCAUCUCAGAUGUUCCAGAGUUUUUCAAGGGAGUUGCAAGAAUUCCCCUGUGGUACAAUAAUUUAAUAGAACCCACCAGGGCUUAGUCAGGCCAAACUACCGUAGUUUCAUGAAUUCAUCAUACAGUUUCAUGCCACUCCACUUUUGAACAUGUUUUCCCUCUGCUUAGAGAAAUUAUUCCUCCCCCUGCUUUCCUGCGCUUCCCUAUUCAUCCUUUAAAACCUCAUCUCAAGAGUCCAUCUGUGAAGACAUUCCUAAUUUUUACCCUCUCUCUAUUCGAUCAACAGACUUGGCUUCAAAU
rnacentral:lncRNA from 1 species